GAAAGGNCUUNGNAAAGAGAGNUAANAAGUACGUNGAACCGUUGAAAGGGAAGNAAAUAGAGAUAGAAAUUCUGGCGUGCUUGGUUUCGAUCUUUACAGACGAGCCUUGUACGCUUGCGUUGCGUGACCGGUGCACUUCCGCUUGGCGAAUGUCAACGUCGGUUUGCGUGGCGUCAAAAAGCCGCAUGCACGGUAGGUCUCACGGGAUCGGUAAGGCAUGCGUGCAAACAACUCCAUGUAGACCGAGUUCUGUCGCAGCACGUACCUGAAGGUUGAUGUCCUUAUGUCGGUUUACCGUCGCUCGGCGGACGGCUUUGCCUGUGCGUCAAGUGCGGCCGUUCAGACGAUGGGCAAUACAUACAAGACGUGCUGAGGACGUUGACGAAUCUGCGCCUCUAUCCGACCCGUCUUGAAACACGGACCAAGGAGUCUAACAUGUGCGCAAGUCCCAGAGUGAUCGAAACUCGUUGGGCAUAAUGAAAGUGAAUGCAGUCUCGGCUGCAGAGAUGAGAGGCUGUCGUGGCGGCAUCAUCGACCGACCUGUUCUACUCUUAGAAAGGUUUGAGUUAGAGCGCAACUGUUGGGACCCGAAAGAUGGUGAACUAUGCCUGAAUAGGGCGAAGCCAGCGGAAACACUGGUGGAAGCCCGUAGCGAUUCUGACGUGCAAAUCGAUCGUCGAAUUUGGGUAUAGCGGCGAAAGACUAAUCGAACCAUCUAGUAGCUGGUUCCCUCCGAAGUUUCUCACAGGAUAGCUGGAACUCUCUGGCAGUUU
rnacentral:rRNA from 1 species